rnacentral:rRNA from 1 species
ACCAAUAGCCAAAGUAUGUAGAAUACAAUGGUUCUCAAUAGUUCACUAAAGUUAAGCAAAUGUUGCACACGGUUGUCUCUGGAUUGGUGACCAUCUGGAAAAUUACAUGCUGCUGGCU